AUUGGGGAUAUCAAAAGAAAGGGAGUCUCACUAAUUCUUUUAUUGUAGAUAUGAAUAUGUAAUUCGCCUCCGAAGAUUAAUGACGAAAGGUUGGUUUGUUUAUCUGCAAUUGCAAAAAUCAAUAUCUAUUGGAUCCAUUGAUAUGCGUUUUUUCUUUCAUCUGCUUAAACGAUUGCCGUGAGUAAACUUAUAGGAAUAAUUGGGUUUCAUUUAGUUACAAGCAAGAAAUAAUAAUGAAGAAAUGCAAAUUAUACAAUUUUUUUUUUGCAUUUUUCAUUUUAUAGGGCUAUACGGACUCGAACCGUAGACCUUCUCGGUAAAACAGAUCAAACUUCUUAUUAUUAAAAUGAUCUGAACUGUUUCAAAGACCCAACAUGCAUUUUUUUUGCAUUGGGCUCCUUCAUUAACUGAUCUAAAUAUCAGUUAGUCUGCCAUUUUUUUUCUUGACAUAAAAAAAGAUAAGGAAAUGGCUCCAUGUGCUCUGAUUCAUUAUUUGGGAGCAUUACCAAAGUGUUUCAAAGGUGGGAUUAUCUUGACGUAGGUCUGUCUCUGGCCUAGAUCAACCUAAGUUAAAUGAAGUCUCUAUCGUUCUGCUUAAAAAUCAAAUAUGAAACUUCAUACACCUUAAAGUUCAUAUGACGAAAAGAGAUUUUUUUGAGGUCCUUAUACUCAUUAUGGCCUAGCAUUGAAUAGACUGGGUAUUCACCUUAUCAAGAUCUCAAAUCAAUGAUGGGGUCUGUUUGGCACCUCCUAAAUGGGCGUCCAAAUUGGACCGAACCCUUUGUCAGGCUAUGGUUCCCUCAAAGUUAUGGAGUAAGACAUCGAUUUCUCAACAAGAUCAAUUUUUCUGAUUGUAUGAUGAACUCCCUUGAAAAACAUUGGCGCGCGUGUAAACGAGUUGCUCUACCAACUGAGCUAUAGCCCUUAGUGCUUGUGAUACAUAUUUUAUCAUGUAGGUAAAUUCUUGUCAAGAGAAAUAUUCCAGGAUCCAACAUCAAGAAUCUUUGAUCUCUUUGAGUGGUAUUCCUUAUAUUAGUAUUGCUUAUAAGUAAUAUGAUAUUUAUAAUCCAUCGACAGGAUGGGUUUCGUUUGGUUCUCUUUGGGAUGAUAAAUGACCUACUUAACUCAGUGGUUAGAGUACUGCUUUCAUACGGCGGGAGUCAUUGGUUCAAAUCCAAUAGUAGGUAAAACUUAUUAGAUACCAGAGUCAAUGGUAUCUAAUAAGGUUUACAACCCACCUUUAGUGAUAUUUUUUUUUUUUUAUUUUGUAUCUUUUCUAUUUCAUUUUUUAAUUUGAAUUUUUGCAUCAGAAUUGGAUUCUGUUUGAUUGUAUUUGAUUGUAUUCACCCGACAGAAUCUAAAUAGGAUUAGAAAGAGAACUUCUUUUUAUUAUUCGAACGUACCAACUAGUUAUGAAAUCGGAUUGCUAGCCUCCACCCGUGUUCUAGCUCGUCGGAGAGCUAGAUUUGCCUCAAUUUUUUGUCUCCUUCCUUCAGCCUUUUUCACAUUAGCUUCCGCUAUUUCAAGAGUUUGCUGAGCUUCUUGUGGAUUAAUGUCACUACCCUUCUCCGCAUCAUUUACUAAAACAGUGAUCUCAUUAUUUCCUAUUCUAGCAAAACCACCCAUCAGAGCCAUCGUUAACCAUUGGUCGUUAAGGCGUAUUCUCAAAAUCCCUAUAUCUACAGCUGUGGCAAUAGGGGCGUGAUUUGGUAAUAUGCCAAUUUGACCACUAUUAGUAGAUAAAACAAUUUCUUCCACUUCUGAAUCCCAAACAAUUCGAUUAGGGGUCAGUACACUAAGAUUUAAGGUCAUUUCUUCAAAUUGCUCUCCAUUUCUAAGUUCAUAGCCUUCGCGGUAGCUUCAUCGAUAGUACCUACCAAAUAAAAGGCCUGUUCAGGAAGACCAUCUAAUUCUCCGGAAAGGAUCAAUUGAAAUCCUCGAAUUGUUUCUGCUAGACCAACAUAUUUCCCUGGAGAACCGGUAAAUACUUCUGCUACGAAAAAGGGUUGUGAUAAGAAACGCUCAAUUUUUCGCGCUCUUGCUACGAGUAAACGAUCCUCUUCGGAUAAUUCGUCCAAUCCAAGGAUAGCUAUAAUGUCCUGAAGUUCUUUGUAACGUUGUAAAGUUUGCUUAACUCUUUGGGCGGUUUCGUAAUGUUCCUCACCAACGAUCCGAGGUUGAAGCAUGGUUGACGUUGAAUCUAAAGGAUCUACUGCUGGAUAAAUACCUUUGGCAGCCAAUCCCCUUGAUAGUACGGUAGUAGCAUCUAAAUGUGCAAAUGUCGUAGCAGGAGCAGGGUCGGUCAAAUCGUCUGCGGGUACAUAAACUGCUUGAAUAGAGGUUAUGGACCCUUCUUUGGUAGAAGUAAUUCUUUCUUGUAAAGAACCCAUUUCGGUACUUAGGGUCGGUUGAUAACCCACAGCGGAAGGCAUUCUACCCAAUAAGGCCGAUACUUCGGAUCCUGCUUGGACGAAACGGAAGAUAUUGUCAAUAAAUAGAAGUACGUCUUGCUCAUUAACAUCUCGGAAAUAUUCCGCCAUAGUUAGGGCAGUCAAACCAACUCUCAUACGAGCUCCCGGCGGUUCAUUCAUCUGACCGUAAACUAGGGCCACUUUUGAUUCUGCAAUAUUUUCUUUAUUAAUCACUCCAGAUUCUUUCAUUUCCAUGUAAAGAUCAUUUCCUUCCCGAGUACGUUCACCCACUCCGCCAAAUACGGAUACGCCCCCGUGAGCUUUAGCAAUAUUGUUAAUCAAUUCCAUAAUGAGUACUGUUUUACCCACUCCAGCUCCCCCGAAUAGUCCGAUUUUUCCUCCACGGCGAUAAGGGGCUAAAAGAUCUACUACUUUAAUUCCUGUUUCAAAAAUAGAUAAUUUUGUAUCCAACUGUAUAAAGGCGGGCGCAGAUCUAUGAAUAGGAGACGUUGUACUAGUAUCUACAGGCCCUAAAUUAUCAACAGGCUCUCCGAGCACGUUAAAAAUUCGUCCCAGAGUCGCUCCCCCAACUGGAACACUUAUAGGAGCUCCUGUGUCAAUCACUGCCAUUCCUCUCGUUAGACCUUCUGUAGCACUCAUAGCUACAGCCCUAACUCGAUUAUUUCCUAAUAAUUGCUGUACCUCACAAGCCACAUUAAUUGGUUGACCAACACUAUCUCGACCUUGAACUACCAGAGCGUUAUAAAUAUUUGGCAUCUUGCCCGGGGGAAAGGCUACAUCUAGUACCGGACCGAUGAUUUGGACGACACGCCCCGGGUUUUUUUUUUCAAGCGUGGAAACCCCAGAACCAGAAGUAGUAGGAUUGAUUCUCAUAAUAAUAAAAUAAAUAUGUCGAAAUGUUUUUUCCAAAAUUAUCGAAUUCAAAAAAAAUGUCCGCUAGCACGUCGAUCGGUUAAUUCAAUAAAAUCGGAAUUAGCACUCGAUUUCGUUGGCACCAUGCAAUUGAACCAAUCCAAUUGUUUACUUAUUCAAUGAGACUGAGUUAAUUUGGCAGCUCACCCAACCUAUUUUCAUUUAACAAUCUCAAGUGGAUGAAUCAAAAUCUUGAGAAAGUCUUUCAUUUGUCUACCAUUAUAGACAAGCCCAUCCAUAUUAUCGAUUCUAUGGAAUUCGAACCUGAACUUUAUUUUCUAUUUCUAUUACGAUUCAUUAUUUGUAUCUAAUGGGCUCCUCUUCUUAUUUCUUUUUAUUUCAAUUUCAGCAUAUCGAUUUAUGCCUAGCCUAUUCUUUUCUUUGCGUUUUUCUUUCUUUUUUAUACCUUUCAUAGAUUCAUAGAGGAAUUCCAUAUAUUUUCACAUCUAGGAUUUACAUAUACAACAUAUACCACUGUCAAGGGGGAAGUUCUUAUUAUUUAGGUUAGCUAGGUAUUUCCAUUUCAAAAAAAAAAAAGAUAAAAAAUCAAAAUUGGGUUGCGCUAUAUAUAUGAAAGAGUAUACAAUAAUGAUGUAUUUGGCAAAUCAAAUACCAUGGUCUAAUAAUCAACCAUUCUGAUUAAUUGAUAAUAUUAGUAUUAGUUGGAAAUUUUGUGACAGAUUCCUGUGAAAAGUUUCAUUAACGCGGAAUUCAUGUCGAGUAGACCUUGUUGUUGUGAUAAUUUUUAAUUCAUGAGUUCUAGGGAGGGAUUUAUGUCACCACAAACAGAGACUAAAGCAAGUGUUGGAUUCAAAGCUGGUGUUAAAGAGUACAAAUUGACUUAUUAUACUCCUGAGUACCAAACCAAGGAUACUGAUAUAUUAGCAGCAUUCCGAGUAACUCCUCAACCUGGAGUUCCACCUGAAGAAGCAGGGGCCGCGGUAGCUGCCGAAUCUUCUACUGGUACAUGGACAACUGUAUGGACCGAUGGACUUACCAGUCUUGAUCGUUACAAAGGGCGAUGCUACCGCAUCGAGCGCGUUGUUGGAGAAAAAGAUCAAUAUAUUGCUUAUGUAGCUUACCCUUUAGACCUUUUUGAAGAAGGUUCCGUUACCAAUAUGUUUACUUCCAUUGUAGGUAACGUAUUUGGGUUCAAAGCCCUGCGCGCUCUACGUCUGGAAGAUCUGCGAAUCCCUCCUGCUUAUGUUAAAACUUUCCAAGGUCCGCCUCAUGGGAUCCAAGUUGAAAGAGAUAAAUUGAACAAGUAUGGUCGUCCCCUGUUGGGAUGUACUAUUAAACCUAAAUUGGGGUUAUCUGCAAAAAACUACGGUAGAGCUGUUUAUGAAUGUCUUCGCGGUGGACUUGAUUUUACCAAAGAUGAUGAGAACGUGAACUCACAACCAUUUAUGCGUUGGAGAGAUCGUUUCUUAUUUUGUGCCGAAGCACUUUUUAAAGCACAGACUGAAACAGGUGAAAUCAAAGGGCAUUACUUGAAUGCUACUGCAGGUACAUGCGAAGAAAUGAUCAAAAGAGCUGUAUUUGCUAGAGAAUUGGGCGUUCCGAUCGUAAUGCAUGACUACUUAACGGGGGGAUUUACCGCAAAUACUACCUUGGCUCAUUAUUGCCGAGAUAAUGGUCUACUUCUUCACAUCCACCGUGCAAUGCAUGCGGUUAUUGAUAGACAGAAGAAUCAUGGUAUCCACUUCCGGGUAUUAGCAAAAGCGUUACGUAUGUCUGGUGGAGAUCAUAUUCACUCUGGUACCGUAGUAGGUAAACUUGAAGGUGAAAGAGACAUAACUUUGGGCUUUGUUGAUUUACUGCGUGAUGAUUUUGUUGAACAAGAUAGAAGUCGCGGUAUUUAUUUCACUCAAGAUUGGGUCUCUUUACCAGGUGUUCUACCUGUGGCUUCAGGAGGUAUUCACGUUUGGCAUAUGCCUGCUCUGACCGAGAUCUUUGGGGAUGAUUCCGUACUACAGUUCGGUGGAGGAACUUUAGGACAUCCUUGGGGUAAUGCGCCAGGUGCCGUAGCUAAUCGAGUAGCUCUAGAAGCAUGUGUAAAAGCUCGUAAUGAAGGACGUGAUCUUGCUCGGGAAGGUAAUGAGAUUAUUCGCGAGGCUUGCAAAUGGAGCCCGGAACUAGCUGCUGCUUGUGAGGUAUGGAAAGAGAUCGUAUUUAAUUUUGCAGCAGUGGACGUUUUGGAUAAGUAAAAACAGUAGACAUUAGCAGAUAAAUUAGCAGGAAAUAAAGAAGGAUAAGGAGAAAGAACUCAAGUAAUUAUCCUUCGUUCUCUUAAUUGAAUUACAUUACAAUUUAAUUCGGCUCAAUCCUUUUAGUAAAAGAUUGGGCCGAAUACAACUAAGAUUCUAUUGCAUAUAUUUUGAUCAAGAUUUGAAAUACAAAAUCUAGAAAACUAAAUCAAAAUCUAAGACUCAAAUCUUUCUAUUAUUGUCUUGGAUCCACAAUUAAUCCUACGGAUCCUUAGGAUUGGUAUAUUCUUUUCUAUCCUGUAGUUUGUAGUUUCCCUGAAUCAAGCCAAGUAUUCCAACUCUUUCUACCCAUCCUGUAUAUUGUCCCCUUUGUUCCGUGUUGAAAUAGAACCUUAAUUUAUUACUUAUUAUUAGAUUUUAGAUUGUUAGAUUAGUUAGUGAUUAGAUAUUAGUAUUAGACGAGAUUUUACGAAUUUUUUUUAUUUCUUUAUAUUUAUAAGAGAGGACAAAUCUCUUUUUUUCGAUGCGAAUUUGACACGACAUAGGAGAAGCCGCCCUUUAUCAAAAAUUCUAUUAUUUUUAUAUUCUUUUUAAUAAUAAAAGGGGGUUCCAACAUAUUAAUAUAUAGUGAAGUGUUCCCCCAGAUUCAGAACUUUUUUUGAAUACUCACAAUCCGUAUUAGUUAAUAAUCCUAGUGAUUGGAUUUCUAUGCUUAGUCUGAUAGGAAAUAAGAUAUUCAAAUAAAGAAUUUUAUAGCGAAUGACUAUUCAUCUAUUGUAUUUUCAUGCAAAUAGGGGGCAAGAAAACUCUAUGGAAAGAUGGUGGUUUAAUUCGAUGUUGUUUAAGAAGGAGUUCGAACGCAGGUGUGGGCUAAAUAAAUCAAUGGGCAGUCUUGGUCCUAUUGAAAAUACCAGUGAAGAUCCAAAUCUAAAAGUGAAAAACAUUCAUAGUUGCAGUAAUGUUGAUUAUUUAUUCGGCGUUAAAGACAUUUGGAAUUUCAUCUCUAAUGACACUUUUUUAGUUAGUGAUAGGAAUGGGGACAGUUAUUCCAUCUAUUUUGAUAUUGAAAAUCAUAUUUUUGAGGUUGACAACGAUCAUUCUUUUCUGAGUGAACUAGAAAGUUCUUUUUAUAGUUAUCGAAACUCGAGUUAUCUGAAUAAUGGAUUUAGGGGCGAAGAUCCCUACUAUAAUUCUUACAUGUAUGAUACUCAAUAUAGUUGGAAUAAUCACAUUAAUAGUUGCAUUGAUAAUUAUCUUCAGUCUCAAAUCUGUAUAGAUACUUCCAUUAUAAGUGGUAGUGAGAGUAACGGUGACAGUUACAUUUAUAGGGCCAUUUGUAGUGGUCAAAGUCUAAAUAGUAGUGAAAACGAGGGUUCCAGUAGACGAACUCGCACAAAGGACAGUGAUUUAACUAUAAGAGAAAGUUCUAAUGAUCUCGAGGUAACUCAAAAAUACAAGCAUUUGUGGGUUCAAUGCGAAAAUUGUUAUGGAUUAAAUUAUAAGAAAUUUUUGAAAUCAAAAAUGAAUAUUUGUGAACAAUGUGGAUAUCAUUUGAAAAUGAGUAGUUCGGAUAGAAUUGAACUUUUGAUCGAUCCGGGUACUUGGGAUCCUAUGGAUGAAGACAUGGUCUCGCUGGAUCCCAUUGAAUUUCAUUCGGAGGAGGAGCCUUAUAAGGACCGUAUUGAUUCUUAUCAAAGAAAGACAGGAUUAACCGAGGCUGUUCAAACAGGCAUAGGCCAACUAAACGGCAUUCCCGUAGCAAUUGGGGUUAUGGAUUUUCAGUUUAUGGGGGGUAGUAUGGGAUCCGUAGUCGGAGAGAAAAUCACCCGUUUGAUUGAACACGCUGCCAAUCAAAAUUUACCUCUUAUGAUAGUGUGUGCUUCUGGGGGGGCGCGCAUGCAGGAAGGAAGUUUGAGCUUGAUGCAAAUGGCUAAAAUAUCGUCUGCUUUAUAUGAUUAUCAAUUAAAUAAAAAAUUAUUUUAUGUAUCAAUCCUUACAUCUCCGACAACUGGUGGAGUGACAGCUAGUUUUGGUAUGUUGGGGGAUAUCAUUAUUGCCGAACCCAAUGCCUACAUUGCAUUUGCAGGUAAAAGAGUAAUUGAACAAACAUUGAAUAAAACAGUACCCGAAGGUUCACAAGCAGCUGAAUACUUAUUCCAGAAGGGUUUAUUCGACCUAAUUGUACCACGUAAUCUUUUAAAAAGCGUUCUGAGUGAGUUAUUUAAGCUCCACGCCUUUUUUCCUUUGAAUCAAAAGUCAAGCAAAAUCAAGUAGAGCACUAAGUUCAAUUAUUUUUUUUGUGUUUGUAGCAAAAAGUAGUUAGUUUAUCGGAAUCAAAGUAAAUAAGAUAAUAAUGGCCUUUUCUUUGGUGAUAGAAGAUCGAAUUGUAGAAAGAAUUAAAACGAAAGUUGAGGAUAACUCUUUUUUUGACCUAUAUUCCUGAUUACGAAUCAAGAAACCUUUAUCACCAAGAGUGAGUUCUUCCUUUCGUGAAAUUAGUAAAAUAAAACGAAUUUGGUCUUGUCUUAGGUAUAUAAUUUGAAAUUUCAAUAGAGAUAAUAGAGUUUUGUAUCUUUCUCUAUCUACCGAAAAACCAUUUUAGCUAAAAAUCCAUGUUGGGUCGGAUUCGAAUGAAUCCGUCGAUAAUCUGUAAAAAACUCUUUAUCUAUUUUUAGAAAAGUAGAAGACAAGAACAAAAGACAAAGAAAUGAAGAAAAAUAAUAAAGUUUAUUAUCAUACAUAUCUUUCUCAUGGAGGAGAUGAAUAAGUCCAUUUAUUUAGUUCUACAGUUCUACAUUCUUUGCACUUAUUCUUAUUAUACGUACUCAGUUAGAUUUAGAUAUAUCGAUACUUCGAUCUAUACUAAGAAUUUCAAAUUCUUCAAAUUCUAUUAAUAAUAAAUAUUAUCUAAUAUCUAAUUAGAAUUCAAAUUCUUAAUUUAAUUAUAAUUAUUACAAGAUAUCUUUAUUUAUAUAAUAACAUAAUAACAGAUACAAAUAGUAAAUCGAGGUACCCCUUCUAUGACAAAUUUGAACCUUCCAUCUAUUUUUGUGCCGUUAGUAGGCCUAGUCUUUCCGGCAAUUGCAAUGGCUUCUUUAUUUCUUCAUGUUCAAAAAAACAAGAUUGUUUAGAUCCGCUGGGACCCAAUCUCAUCCAUUUUUUUUUUGAAAACGUGGACUUGUAUCAUAACACGGAUAUCUAUUUAUUGGAGUAUAGUAUAACAUGUGAUUUCCACCGAACAUAAAGGAAAAAACUCUUAUGCCCGCAGAAACAUGAUAUAUGGAUAUAUCAAUUCUAGCAAUUUUCAAAUAGAUCAGGAUCUCUGGAUGGCUGAAAUGUAGUCGGUGAAUCUAUAUGUAUAUCGAUAUGUAUAGUGGGAUCGUAUUAAAUAAAGAGUAUGUUAUUAUUUUAGAUUUAACCAAUUUGAUGAAUUACUCCUAAAGGUUGACAUCAAACUAGUGCUAGUUCACCUCAAACUAGUGCUAGUUGAUGAGAGUUACUUCGGAAACAAAAAAGUAAAGUCAAAUUUUUCUGGGGUAUUAUCUCAAUUCCAAUAAAAUGCAAUCGAGUAAAGUAUGACUUGGCGAUCAGACGAUAUAUGGAUAGAACUUAUAACGGGGUCUCGAAAAAUAAGUAAUUUCUGCUGGGCCUUGAUCCUUUUUUUAGGUUCAUUAGGCUUCUUAUUAGUUGGAACUUCCAGUUAUCUUGGUAGAAAUUUGCUAUCUUUUUUUCCGCCUCAGCAAAUCAUUUUUUUCCACAAGGAAUCGUGAUGUCUUUCUACGGAAUUGCGGGUCUCUUUAUUAGCUCUUAUUUGUGGUGCACAAUUUCCUGGAAUGUAGGUAGUGGUUAUGAUCGAUUCGAUAGAAAGGAGGGAAUAGUCUGUAUCUUUCGUUGGGGAUUUCCGGGAAAAAAUCGUCGCAUAUUCCUCCGAUUCCUUAUAAAAGAUAUUCAGUCCGUUAGAAUAGAAGUUAAAGAGGGUAUUUAUGCUCGUCGUGUUCUUUAUAUGGACAUCCGAGGCCAGGGGUCCAUUCCCUUGACCCGUACUGAUGAGAAUUUGACUCCACGAGAAAUUGAACAAAAGGCUGCUGAAUUAGCCUAUUUCUUGCGUGUACCAAUUGAAGUAUUUUGAUAAAUUGAGAAUCAGAACGUUCAUUCAAUUAAAGAAAACGUAUAUGAAAGAACCAUAAAACGAAACUCUUUUUAUGGUCUUUAUGUGCACGCAAUUCAAUAACAAAUAACAAAUCGAAAUAAUAGAUUCAUCUCAGACGGCAAACCAUUUCGAAAGCAAGAAUUUUUUUUAGUUCAAUAUUUGUUGGAAUUGACACUUUAGAUCCAGAUAGAUCGUAUCUUGUAAAUUUGAAAUUCUUUCUUUUGUAUUCUUUAAUGACCAACAAUUGGAUUUCUUAAUUAAAUACUGAGAACUAGCCAAUUUAUCCUUUGCUAGUCAUUUUUUUUUUAUCAUCCUAAUAUCUUUCCCUCAAUUAUUCUAUUCCUGACUAUGGGUAAUCAAUGAAAUUUUUUCGAAAUAUUGGAUAUUUUGAUAGCAAAGGAGUUCUUUCGUCUCAAAAUCUGAAUAAUAUUCAUUACUUAAAGUGGUUCUUUCGGUCAUUCAUCGAAAGGAUACACUUAAUUUUUAAUUUGACCAAUUGAGAUAUCAGGAAACAAUAUUCUCAAUUUCUUCAUUCGAAGUGAAUUCUUAGCCUAUUUCUGUAUUCUUUCUAGAUUCAAAGACUAACCACAAAAUCACAAAGAAAAUAGAUUCAUAAGUUCGAUACCUUGUAUAAAACUCAUGUGUGUAAGAAAUAUUCGAUCGCAUAGAGUGUACGAAUGGGUUGAUUAACAAUUUACAGACGAAAAAAAUGGCAAAAAAGAAAGCAUUCACUCCUCUUUUCUAUCUUGCAUCUAUAGUAUUUUUGCCCUGGUGGAUUUCUUUCUCAGUUAAUAAAUGGCUGGAAUCUUGGGUUACUAAUUGGUGGAAUACUGGGCAAUCCCAAAUUGUCUUGAAUAAUAUUCAAGAAAAGAGUCUUCUAGAAAAAUUCAGAGAAUUAGAGGAACUCCUCUUCUUGGACGAAAUGAUCAAGGAAUACUCGGAAACACAUCUCGAAGAGUUUGGGAUAGGAAUCCAUAAAGAAACGAUCCAAUUAAUCACGAUACAAAAUGAGAAUCGUAUGGAUACGAUUUUGCACUUCUCAACAAAUAUAAUCUGGUUUGGUAUUCUAAGCGGGUAUUCAAUUUUGGGUAAGGAAAAACUUGUUAUUCUUAACUCUUGGGCUCAGGAAUUCCUAUAUAACUUAAGUGACACAGCAAAAGCUUUGUGUAUUCUUCUAGUAAGUGAGUUUUUUCUCGGAUAUCAUUCACCCCCAGGUUGGGAAUUCGUUAUACGCUCUAUCUAUAACGAGGUUGGAGUUGUUGCGAAUGAGCAAACUAUAACUAUUCUUGUUUGCAUCCUUCCAGUAAUUUUUGAUACAUGUUUUAAAUAUUGGCUUUUCCGUUAUUUAACUAGUCUGUCUCCGUCAAUUUUACUGCUUUAUGAUUCAAUAACUGAAUGAUAAAGGAUCCAUUGAUAUUAAUCUAAUCCAAUUAGAAUGCUUAGUACUUUGUAGUUGUACAUAAGCAAAGUAUUGAAAAUCAUAUUUACUCUUCCUAUUUCUAACCAUCGGGAAGAUUCAUCCUAGAUUAUUCCAGCAAAUAGCAGAAUCGUGGCUAGGGAACUAUACUAGCGACCUACCCAAUUUAUUGUAGAAAUUUUCGCGAUCAAUGAUUGGACCAUGCAAACUAGAAAUGCUUUUUCUUGGCUAAAGAAACAGAUUACUCGAUCUAUUUCCGUAUCGCUCAUGAUAUAUAUCUUAACUCGGACGUCCAUUUCAAGUGCAUAUCCCAUUUUUGCACAGCAGGGUUAUGAAAAUCCACGAGAAGCGACUGGGCGUAUUGUAUGUGCCAAUUGCCAUUUAGCUAAUAAGCCCGUGGAAAUUGAGGUUCCACAAGCGGUACUUCCUGAUACUGUAUUUGAAGCAGUUGUUCGAAUUCCUUAUGAUAUGCAACUGAAACAGGUUCUUGCUAAUGGUAAAAAAGGGGGGUUGAACGUCGGAGCUGUUCUUAUUUUACCGGAGGGGUUUGAAUUAGCUCCUCCCGAUCGUAUUUCUCCUGAGAUGAAAGAAAAGAUUGGCAAUUUGUCUUUUCAGAGCUAUCGCCCCAAUAAAACAAAUAUUCUUGUGGUAGGCCCUGUCCCUGGUAAAAAAUAUAGUGAAAUAACCUUCCCUAUUCUUUCCCCGGACCCUGCUACUAAGAAGGAUGUUCACUUCUUAAAAUAUCCUAUAUACGUAGGCGGGAACAGGGGAAGGGGUCAGAUUUAUCCCGACGGCAACAAGAGUAACAAUACAGUUUAUAAUGCUACAGCAGCAGGUAUAGUAAGCAAAAUCAUACGAAAAGAAAAAGGGGGGUAUGAGAUAACCAUAACGGAUGCGUCGGAGGGACGUCAAGUGGUUGAUAUUAUCCCUCCCGGACCAGAACUUCUUGUUUCCGAGGGCGAAUCUAUCAAAUUUGAUCAACCAUUAACGAGUAAUCCUAAUGUAGGCGGAUUUGGUCAGGGAGAUGCAGAAAUAGUACUUCAAGAUCCAUUACGUGUCCAAGGACUUUUGUUCUUCUUGGCAUCUGUUAUUUUGGCACAAAUCUUUUUGGUUCUUAAAAAGAAACAGUUCGAGAAGGUUCAAUUGGCCGAAAUGAAUUUCUAGAUUCGCAGAUUUAUCGAUAUCAAGUACGUAAAAAGAACCAAAUUCUUGUUGGCGAUUAUUUAUGAUCAAAAAAAUGAAAUUAUGAAAACUCCUUUGUCUUAUUUAUACUCUUCUUCAAAAUCUACAUUACAUACUCUUUUUCUACGAGAUGCUGGGAAUCCCUUGUACCACAUAGUAUGUAGAUUUUGAAGAAGAGUAUUUGGCUUUCAUUUAUUUGA
rnacentral:lncRNA from 1 species